GUCGCCGACGCCGUGACUGACGUUUACACCAAGCACCACAAUGGUCAAAGUGCUAGGACAUGAUCUGUUUAUUAUAUCUGGCAAGUGUGUGCGUGUGUGUGUGUGUGUGUGUGUGUGUGUGUGUGUGUAACAGGAUCUAAUAUAAACCCUGUUCAGGUCAAUAUCCACACUGAUAGAACACGAGUGUCCUGUCAGUACAGCGGUUUACAGCUGUUACAGUUUCCCCCGACGGUUCGUGAGUUCUGGAUUGUGAUUGGUCAGAACCGGAGGCCUUGAUUCAUUUUCUAUAACAGCAGCUCUGACGACUUCAGGAAAUAAACAGAUCAAACAUCAGCGGCUGAGAAACCAGGCCGUGCUCCAGGCGUGUCUUUAAAUCAUUCUACACCUGCUCCAGGCUCCCCAACGACCGCACCCCGCCACCGCACCCCGCCACCGCACCCCGCCACCGCACCGGGACCUCGCUCUCAACAGCGUUACCGUGGUUACGGGUACUGUCUAACUCCACCUGUCUGUCUCUCCCCCCACACACAGGAUGUCUGUGGGUCCACAAAGCUUCGUUCCUCAGUAUAAUCCCUGGAAGCCUCAGCCUCAGAUGGACGCCCUGGUCUCAGCUCUGUGGCAUGGCCUCUGUCCUGACACUAUAAUGAAAGACGAUUAUGAAUCAGUGCAUAUAUUUGCCCAGCUGUCCAAUCACAGGAAUGCAGUCAUGCAAACCAUGUAUACACACAUCUUCGAUCUGGUGAUUACACACCUGCCAGACAACAGAGACAGCAGGAACAGUAAGGGUGUGUUAUACAGCUUUCCCAGCAAUUAAUCCAUCUGGCACAAAUGUAAGUGGACCUU
ensembl:lncRNA